ACAAUGUUUGCGCUAAGUGGGUAAUGAGGUGGUUCUUGUUUGACUGAUCUGGCAUCUUUCUAUUGUCCAUCUCUAAAAUGCUGACGAACCUAUGUUUUUUCAGACUUUGACUGAAGAUGAACCUGAGAAAUAUCAGUCUCACUUUAGUGAGUACAUUAAGCAAGGUCUUGAGGCUGAUGAUCUUGAGGAGAUGUACAAGAAAGUUCAUGCUGCCAUACGUGCUGAUCCAAGCCCAAAGAAAUCUGAGAAGCAGCGCAGAAAGCACUAUUUUAACCGUUGUAUCAAUUAUAGAAUCCAUGGACAAUGUUUGCGCUAAGUGGGUAAUGAGGUGGUUCUUGUUUGACUGAUCUGGCAUCUUUCUAUUGUCCAUCUCUAAAAUGCUGACGAACCUAUGUUUUUUCAGACUUUGACUGAAGAUGAACCUGAGAAAUAUCAGUCUCACUUUAGUGAGUACAUUAAGCAAGGUCUUGAGGCUGAUGAUCUUGAGGAGAUGUACAAGAAAGUUCAUGCUGCCAUACGUGCUGAUCCAAGCCCAAAGAAAUCUGAGAAGCAGCCUCCCA
rnacentral:lncRNA from 1 species